AUAAUAAUAAUAAUAAUAAAAGCAAGAUGAAUUCAUGACUGACCUUUAAGAGAUGAAAGAACAAUCUGCCUAACAUUUGCAUAGUCUAACUUAUCACCCAUUUUAUUACGAUUUAGCAGCCCAGAUGAGCAUAUGUGGAUAUACCUAUUCUUUUUUUAUCUCCAUAUAUGAGUACUCGACUAUGGAAACUGAAUUUAUCAUACACAAUAAUGGCAUGCAUAACUAGCUGCAGAAUUUUAUUUAUUUUUUAAAAUAUUAAAAGAUAUACGUUAAAAAAAAAUCAAAAUUAGUGAACUUAUCAAUGAUUAUUUUUAAUUUCAUUUUGUGCAGUACUAUUUUUUUAUGCAAGAGAUUAAAAAAAUCUAUUAUUUAGAAUCAAUUCACAAUAUUUGGAUUUAAAGCUAAAUUAAUGAAAAUGAAUUUAGCCUAAAUAGAAAAAAUACGAUUUUG
rnacentral:misc_RNA from 1 species